rnacentral:lncRNA from 10 species
ACUUCUGGGAAAUGCUUGGUUUCAGAUCUGGGAGAAGAAAUAUAGAAGAUAAAUCUGGAACACUGUGUGACACAAAAUAAGAAAACUGUGAAAGGAAAACGAGCCAUUGUCAAAAUGACACAUGAGCCAGCUUGAGUGGACUUUCACUAUCCAAAGGCUCGCUCAUGGACCAGUCAGCCUGCACUUCCUCUUCCCUGAGGCCCAUAAAAACCCAGGGCUCAGCCAAAGCUGGACAGAUGAUGGGACACCCAGCUGCAGAGAGGCACUACUGUCUCUGCUGAGAACUGAACACUCCUCAGGAUGACCAGCUGCGGAGAGGAGCUAAACACUUGUUGGGAUGAUCUGCCUGCAAAGAGGAGUUACCCUCGCUGCUUGGAGCCAAACACUCCACAGGACACCUUGGCUGUGGAAAGAGAGCUGCCCCCUGCAGGUCUCCUCUGAGCUGUUCUAUCGCUCAAUAAAG